CAAUGUACUUUAAGUGCAUGAUUAAACAAUGCAAAAUUGCACAUUUUGGAUCCAUGGCACUCCCAGUAGUGUAGUAGUAGGGUGUUUUUGUUGGUCAGUUAUACAGCAUUGAAUAGCAAAUACAAAUUCUGAAUUAUGAAUAUAACUAUCAAAGGCAUCUUUUGAAGUUUUCUUUUCCCAACUUCAGAUCUGUGAUUUGUGUUUGUAUAACACUAGCAAGUAGGUGGACGGAUCCUUGAGGUUUGGAGGAAACUAUUUUAACUCCCUUAUUGCGUGGAGUAAAUGAUGGAAGGUUAUGGCCAGAAUUUUGCUUAGUUUGGUUCUGUUUGGGCUGAUUUUUCUUUACAUUGUCAUAUUUGCUCUUUAUUCCAGAAUGGAUUAAUGGUUUUAUCAUUCUUGCUAAAAGUACAAUUGCCAUGCUUUUGAUGUGUUCCAAGGAGAUUUAUGUCAAUGACUAAGAUCGAGUCCUUCAAUAUCGAAUGUGCAAUGUUAUAGUCCUUGGUUACUAGCCAGAAGCUUUGUGGCUGGCUUCUGCUGGUUUUUCAGAACCUUGAGACCUGGCUUGAAUGAAGCACCCCUCUUGUUAAACUGGCAAAUAAUUGUAUAAUUUCUGGACAUACUUAAGGCACUGAUGCUUGAUAUGUGGAUGUGCUUCUGUUAGUUCUUCAUAAUUCAGAUGCUCAUGUAUGGUUGCUUUGUGCUACAUGAGAGAAAGCUUAUAAAUUGAAGAUUUAUACUUCCCAAGUGCUGAGUAAAAGGACUGUCAUGACUGUAGGAUGCAUAAUUUCGGGCAUGCAGAUGGCUCACUGAUCAUGAAGAAGUUAUUCCUACAUCAGAUAUGGAGCACAAAGUAUCAUUGCUCCACUAGAGGCAUUCAGUUGAAAUUGACAAUGGGCAGCUCACGGACUUGAUAAUGUCCCAUUCGUUUGAGUUGUGAGACCUGUUCUAUGUUCAUUGGUGGAGAAAGGCUAGAACCACCCAGGGAUUGUGAGGAGAAGAAUAAAGAGAAAGUAGCAGGGGUGUAGAAUAAAUUAACUUAGUGAUGCUGCUAUUGGCACUUCUUUUUCAUUGGUUCUUUAUUGCAACAAAUCCUUAGUAAUUGGAGUUUCGCAUAAAGAUUGUUCUCAGACAUCUAUUAUGUCUAGUAUAUUUCUGAAUCAGGAAUGUUGAUCCAUCACUGUCCAAUCGUUUUGUGUGAGAAUGGGUGAUGCUGUUCUGUG